rnacentral:rRNA from 1 species
AACGAACGCUGGCGGCAGGCCUAACACAUGCAAGUCGAACGCCCCGCAAGGGGAGUGGCGCACGGGUGAGUAACGCGUGGGAAUAUGCCCUUCGGUUCGGAAUAACACAGGGAAACUUGUGCUAAUACCGGAUACGAUCUACGGAUGAAAGAUUUAUCGCCGAGGGAGUAGCCCGCGUAGGAUUAGCUAGUUGGUGAGGUAAUGGCUCACCAAGGCGACGAUCCUUAGCUGGUCUGGGAGGAUGAUCAGCCACACUGGGACUGAGACACGGCCCAGACUCCUACGGGAGGCAGCAGUGGGGAAUAUUGGACAAUGGGCGAAAGCCUGAUCCAGCCAUGCCGCGUGAGUGAUGAAGGCCUUAGGGUUGUAAAGCUCUUUCGCCAGGGAAGAUAAUGACGGUACCUGGAAAAGAAGCCUCGGCUAACUCCGUGCCAGCAGCCGCAGUAACAC